rnacentral:misc_RNA from 1 species
GAUACUUUUCGAUGAGAUACAUGAGAGUUUACAGACAUUUUGACAAUUUUCGUUUAGAAACAUUUCGAUGUAUUGGAUAGAUUUAAGUAGAUAUAGCUCUGUUUAGUCAGACGAUGAAAUAGAUCGAUAAAUUUAGAAAUAAAGUAUUUUACCUUCUUUGGAUAUCCACCUAUCUUCGUGCUCUUUACCUGAUAUCUACUAUGUUCUGAAAUAUAAAAGAUUUCGCCCCGUGUUCGAGGAACUCCACGGGUGGUGGGAAGUGAGAAACUCUCUCCUGUUAAUAAUGACAUUAUAUUUGAAAUAGUAAUGUUUACAACAUACAAUUGCGACGUUACUACAGUAUUUUUUUGUCAUUUUCUUUUUCUUCCUUUAAGAUAAUUGAUAAUGUUCUCGCAAAAAGAAAAAAAAAAAGAACGGUCACACGCAUUUCGUCUCACGAUUCAUUCACGGUCGUAACGUGUUUUACAAUUGCGUCUAUUCUUUUCCUUUCGCUCCCUCUCUCGCACUCGUUCGCCCUUUCUCUCUCUCUCUCUCUCUCUCUCUCUCUCUCUCUCGCUAUAUUAAACGUACUGUGACCUAUGGACUAUGGCACUUGGUGCAACUAGUUCGGAUUUCUUGGAUACUGCUUAUACGU